rnacentral:misc_RNA from 1 species
GCCUUAUUCACAAAGUAUUAAGUGGUACAAGUUACAUUAUGAGUGCACUUAAUUAUAGAAUAUAAGUACGUCCCUAAUUAACAAAAUUUUCACAAAUUCAAGGUCUCAAAGCAUCAUAUCCACGUCCAAGCAUUCUAAUGUAGUAGAGGGUAAAGUGAAGAGCAAAGUAACUAGGAUUGAAAGUAAUACUAGAUGAUGAAUCAAUUGUUAAGUUCUAGAUAAAAUGACAACACCAAGCAUGCCAAUCAUAUACAAUGUCAUAAAUGUCGUCCUGCAUAGGAAUAGUGUGAAACAUAGCUACAUUCUCAUUCCAAGCACACCUUCUCCCCAAGCGUGAAUCAUUAUGGACUAUGUUUUUAGUAGUCAAAUGUAUGAAAUAGUCCAAUAAUCUGUUCAGUAAACAUGUGAAUUUAUGCUAACUGUCUAUCAUGUCACUGGAACCUCAUUGAAGAUUAAAAAGACAGCGAGUUAAGAUAUAUAACGUCAUUCACGCUGACACCAUAAACAUGUUUCGUAUCUAUCAUACGCAAUCUGCAGCCACAAUAAUAUCAAAGCAGAAAAUUGAAGCAU